GACGAACGCUGGCGGCGUGCUUAACACAUGCAAGUCGAACGGAGUGGCGAACGGGUGAGUAACACGUGGGUGAUCUGCCUUGCACUCUGGGAUAAGCUUGGGAAACUGGGUCUAAUACCGGAUAGUGCAAGAUGAGCUCGCGGCCUAUCAGCUUGUUGGUGGGGUAAUGGCCUACCAAGGCGUCGACGGGUAGCCGGCCUGAGAGGGUGUACGGCCACAUUGGGACUGAGAUACGGCCCAGACUCCUACGGGAGGCAGCAGUGGGGAAUAUUGCACAAUGGGCGGAAGCCUGAUGCAGCGACGCCGCGUGGGGGAUGACGGCCUUCGGGUUGUAAACUCCUUUCGACAGGGACGCGGUACCUGUAUAAGAAGCACCGGCUAACUACGUGCCAGCAGCCGCGGUAAUAC
rnacentral:rRNA from 1 species